UCCGUAGGGUGAACCUGCGGAUGGAUCAUUA
rnacentral:rRNA from 1 species